AUAAGAAAAAUGCAUAAUUUUUUUUUUGGUUUUGACAGAUGCUAAAGUGAAUGGCUUCAGUGCAGCUUGGUGCUGACCCAGAGGAUCCUAAAACUUGAAACCCAAAGAAGGUGGCACUAGACAAUGAAUUCACUUGGAAAAAUCCUCCUCAAAUCACUUUUAUCUAAAUUACCUAAUGUAUCUCACUAUCUGUUUGCUUUGGCUUCCCGGAAUUGGUCCUCUUCCUUUUCUUUCUCUUUCCCAGACACCUUGCAAGUUCCCCCUCUUAUCUCAUGCUGUUUAUAAUUAAUGCUGUCUGACACUUGAUUAUGUGAAGGAAGGACUCAAACUGUGUAAAGUACCUGCUGCCAGUCACCCUGCAGGAAGGGCCACUGGCUGACUAUGAAGCUCCAUUCAUGGUCCAAGGGCUGCGUCUUUCUGCCUUCUAGACCCAAGGACUCUGAAUUUUUACCAACCUUUGGCUACACCUACCAUGUGUUCUAGAUCAGUGUCCAGAUCUGUAAAAUGAGGAUGAUAACACCUUCCCAUUAAUUUACUGUGAGGAGUAAAUAGAAUCAUUUAUGUAAAGUAUCUAGCACAAUGUCCAGCCCUAAGUAUCGAAUAAACAUUAACCAUUAUUGUCAUCAUCA
rnacentral:lncRNA from 1 species